UACGAGGGGGGCAAGCGUUGUUCGGAAUUAUUGGGCGUAAAGGGCGCGUAGGCGGUGCGGUAAGUCACCUGUGAAAUCUCUGGGCUCAACUCAGAGUCUGCAGGCGAAACUGCCGUGCUGGAGUAUGGGAGAGGUGCGUGGAAUUCCCGGUGUAGCGGUGAAAUGCGUAGAUAUCUGGAGGAACACCGGUGGCGAAGGCGGCAUCCUGGACCACGACUGACGCUGAGUGAGCGAAAGCCAGGGGAGCAAACGGG
rnacentral:rRNA from 1 species